rnacentral:rRNA from 1 species
GACGAACGCUGGCGGCGUGCUUAACACAUGCAAGUCGAACGGAAAGGCCCUGCUUUUGUGGGGAGUUCGAGUGGCGCACGGGUGAGUAACACGUGAGUAACCUGCCCUUGACUUUGGGAUAACUUCAGGAAACUGGGACUAAUACCGGAUAGGAGCUCCUGCUGCAUGGUGGGGGUUGGAAAGUUUCGGCGGUUGGGGGUGUAUUCGCGGCUUAUUAGCUUGUUGGUGGAGUAGUGGCUUACCAAGGCUUUGACGGGUGGUCGGCCUGGGAGGGUGACCAGGCACAUUGGGACUGAGGUACGGCCCAGACGCCUACGGGGGGCAGCAGUGGGGAACAUUGCACAAUGGGCGGAAGCCUGAUGAAGCAACGCCGCGAGCGGGAUGACGGCCUUCGGGUUGGAAACCGCUGUCGCCUGUGACGAAGCGUGAGUGACGGUAAUGGGUAAAGAAGCACCGGCUAACUACGUG